CCUACGGGAGGCAGCAGUGAGGAAUAUUGGUCAAUGGCCGAGAGGCUGAACCAGCCAAGUCGCGUGAGGGAUGACGGCCCUACGGGUUGUAAACCUCUUUUGUCGGGGAGCAAGACCCGCCUCGUGCAGGCGGAGCGAGAGUACCCGAAGAAAAAGCAUCGGCUAACUCCGUGCCAGCAGCCGCGGUAAUACGUAGGUGGCAAGCGUUAUCCGGAUUUAUUGGGCGUAAAGGGAACGCAGGCGGUCUUUUAAGUCUGAUGUGAAAGCCUUCGGCUUAACCGGAGUAGUGCAUUGGAAACUGGGAG
rnacentral:rRNA from 1 species